GGGCUUGACAUCCCACGAACCUUCCCGAAAGGGUCGGGUGCCCGCAAGGGAGCGUGGAGACAGGUGGUGCAUGGCUGUCGUCAGCUCGUGUCGUGAGAUGUUGGGUUAAGUCCCGCAACGAGCGCAACCCUCACCCCUUGUUGCCACCGGGUAAUGCCGAGCACUCUAGGGGAACUGCCAGCGUCAAGCUGGAGGAAGGCGGGGAUGACGUCAAGUCAUCAUGCCCCUUACGCCCUGGGCUACACACGUGCUACAAUGGCCGGCACAAAGGGAUGCGAGACCGUGAGGUGGAGCUAACCCCAAAAAACCGGUCUAAGUUCAGAUUGCAGUCUGAAACUCGACUGCAUGAAGGAGGAAUCGCUAGUAAUCGCGCAUCAGCACGGCGCGGUGAAUACGUUCCCGGGCCUUGUACACACCGCCCGUCACACCACGAAAGCCGGCUGUACUCGAAGUCGCUGAGAAUCG
rnacentral:rRNA from 1 species